rnacentral:rRNA from 1 species
UGAUUACCCGCUGAACUU